CAAAUUUCUGCCCUAUCAACUUUCGAUGGUAGAGUAGUGGUCUACCAUGGUUUCAACGGGUAACGGGGAAUUAGGGUUCUAUUCCGGAGAGGGAGCCUGAGAAACGGCUACCACAUCCAAGGAAGGCAGCAGGCGCGCAAAUUACCCAAUCCCGACACGGGGAGGUAGUGACAAUAAAUACUGAUACAGGGCUCUUUUGGGUCUUGUAAUUGGAAUGAGUACAAUUUAAAUCCCUUAACGAGGAACAAUUGGAGGGCAAGUCUGGUGCCAGCAGCCGCGGUAAUUCCAGCUCCAAUAGCGUAUAUUAAAGUUGUUGCAGGUUAAAAAGCUCGGUAGUUGAACCU
rnacentral:rRNA from 1 species